rnacentral:tRNA from 1 species
GCUCGAGUGGUGGAAUGGUAGACACGCCAGUUUCAGGUACUGGUGGUUAUGCCGUGUGGGUUCAAAUCCCAUCUCGAGCA